UUGCGCAUGAUGAAGCAAAUCAGUAUGAAUAAGUUCAUGAUAUGUAAAAAUUCUCUGAUGUA
rnacentral:snoRNA from 2 species